ACGGGACCUGGGGAAUCCGACUUUAUAAUUAAAACAAAAGCAUGGGGAUGGCCCUAGCGGGUGUUGACACAAUGUGAUUUCUGCCCAGUGCUCUGAUGUCAAAGUGAAGAAAUUCAAGUAAGCGCGGGUCAACGGCGGGAGUAACUAUGACUCUCUCUUUCAUUGACAGGGCAGAGCUCGAGGGAAAGGAAACCACUCUCCAAUGCUUAUCGCUAUAUCUCCUGGGAAUUUUUCCGGCACAGGGUGUACGACACACGCUGACGAGACCUCCUCGGAGACCUCGGAAUAGGAGAGAAAGCAGAAGGCAGCAGUAUGCUGUCGUCCAGCGUAACUGGGAUAAGCAUAAAGGAAGAUGCAUCAAGUCCUUGCUAAAUGGAACUGAUGAGUCGGUAAUGCCAAGCCAAGAAGUAAUGGUUCCCUACUG
rnacentral:ncRNA from 1 species